GACGAACGCUGGCGGCGUGCUUAACACAUGCAAGUCGAACGGAAAGGCCCUGCUUUUGUGGGGUGCUCGAGUGGCGAACGGGUGAGUAACACGUGAGUAACCUGCCCUUGACUUUGGGAUAACUUCAGGAAACUGGGGCUAAUACCGGAUAGGAGCUCCUGCUGCAUGGUGGGGGUUGGAAAGUUUCGGCGGUUGGGGAUGGACUCGCGGCUUAUCAGCUUGUUGGUGGGGUAGUGGCUUACCAAGGCUUUGACGGGUAGCCGGCCUGAGAGGGUGACCGGCCACAUGGGGACUGAGAGACGGCCCAGACUCCUACGGGAGGCAGCAGUGGGGAAUAUUGCACAAUGGGCGGAAGCCUGAUGCAGCAACGCCGCGUGCGGGAUGACGGCCUUCGGGUGGUAAACCGCUUUCGCCUGUGACGAAGCGUGAGUGACGGUAAUGGGUAAAGAAGCACCGGCUAACUACGUG
rnacentral:rRNA from 1 species